GAUGAACGCUGGCGGCGUGCUUAACACCCCCAAGUCGAACGAUGAAGCCCAGCUUGCUGGGUGGAUUAGUGGCGAACGGGUGAGUAACACGUGAGUAACCUGCCCUUAACUCUGGGAUAAGCCUGGGAAACUGGGUCUAAUACCGGAUAGGAGCGUCCACCGCAUGGUGGGUGUUGGAAAGAUUUAUCGGUUUUGGAUGGACUCGCGGCCUAUCAGCUUGUUGGUGAGGUAAUGGCUCACCAAGGCGACGACGGGUAGCCGGCCUGAGAGGGUGACCGGCCACACUGGGACUGAGACACGGCCCAGACUCCUACGGGAGGCAGCAGUGGGGAAUAUUGCACAAUGGGCGCAAGCCUGAUGCAGCGACGCCGCGUGAGGGAUGACGGCCUUCGGGUUGUAAACCUCUUUCAGUAGGGAAGAAGCGAAAGUGACGGUACCUGCAGAAGAAGCACCGGCUAACUACGUG
rnacentral:rRNA from 1 species